rnacentral:rRNA from 1 species
GACGAACGCUGGCGGCGUGCCUAAUACAUGCAAGUCGAGCGGACUGAUUAAGAGCUUGCUCUUAUGACGUUAGCGGCGGACGGGUGAGUAACACGUGGGCAACCUGCCCUGUAGAUCGGGAUAACACCGAGAAAUCGGUGCUAAUACCGGGUAAUAUCUGAGAUCACAUGAUCUUAGGUUAAAAGAUGGCUCCGGCUAUCACUACAGGAUGGGCCCGCGGCGCAUUAGCUAGUUGGUAAGGUAAUGGCUUACCAAGGCGACGAUGCGUAGCCGACCUGAGAGGGUGAUCGGCCACACUGGGACUGAGACACGGCCCAGACACCUCCGGGAGGCAGCAGUAGGGAAUCUUCCGCAAUGGACGAAAGUCUGACGGAGCAACGCCGCGUGAGUGAUGAAGGGUUUCGGCUCGUAAAGCUCUGUUGUUAGGGAAGAAACAGUACCGAACGAACUAGGUCGGUACCUUGACGGUACCUAACCAGAAAGCCACGGCUAACUACGUG